UCCAUUGUCGUCUAGUUCGGUUAGGAUACCUGGUUUUCACCCAGGCGACCCGGGUUCAAAUCCCGGCAACGGAA
rfam:Picea glauca, whole genome shotgun sequence.